rnacentral:rRNA from 1 species
GAUGAACGCUAGCUACAGGCUUAACACAUGCAAGUCGAGGGGAAACGACAUCGAAAGCUUGCUUUUGAUGGGCGUCGACCGGCGCACGGGUGAGUAACGCGUAUCCAACCUGCCCACCACUUGGGGAUAACCUUGCGAAAGUAAGACUAAUACCCAAUGAUAUCUCUAGAAGACAUCUGAAAGAGAUUAAAGAUUUAUCGGUGAUGGAUGGGGAUGCGUCUGAUUAGCUUGUUGGCGGGGUAACGGCCCACCAAGUCGACGAUCGGUAGCCGGACUGAGAGGUUGACCGGCCACAUUGGGACUGAGAUACGGCCCAGACUCCUACGGGAGGCAGCAGUGGGGAAUAUUGGGCAAUGGACGCAAGUCUGACCCAGCAACGCCGCGUGAAGGAGAAGGCUUUCGGGUGUAAACUCUUUAAGGGGGACAGUAGAAGAGGGUACCCCUUGAAUAAGCCACGGCUAACUACGUG